ACAAGCCACGCGCCACCCAUUCCCUCCAUUUCACAACUCGAUCGAGUGGUGUGGUGAACAUGUACCCUGCUGCAGAGAUCGCUAGCGUCCGAUACCUAUCUCCUGCUGCAGGCGCAGCCUCUCUCAGACCUCAUUACCGUGACGACUUCCUCUUCCAGUUCCAGUACAGCGACCUCCUGCUGGCGCCUGCGCACCCUUCGCUCUACCAAGAUGUCGCUGAUCACCUGGUCCUCGGAGCUAGCUUCCCGGCUGCUGGUGACAACAGGUCCAGCUCGGAGGAGUCGGACGCCUACCUGCAGCGCAGCCUCGCGGAGGAGCGCAGGAAGAGGAGGAUGGUAUCCAACAGGGAGUCCGCCCGGCGGUCGCGCGUGAGGAAGCAGAAGCAGCUGAGCGAGCUCUGGGCGCAGGUCGUCCACCUCCGCGGCACCAACCGCCAGCUCCUUGACCAGCUCAAGUGCUCAACCGUGUCAUCAGAGACUGCGACCGUAUCCUCCGUGAAAACUCCCGGCUGAGAGAUGAACGGACCAGGUUGCAGCAGCAGCUGGAGGAGCUCCCUGCAGAGGCCGCGGAGAGUGGUGGCAUGAGUCCUCCUCCUGACUCUUGAAGCAUCCAGGAUUACAGGUGUUAUUAGAUGAGAUUUUAACUAGGAGGCUUCCUUCCUUCCUUCCUUCCUUCUAUCCUGAUGCUUUCAUUUUUUUUAUCGUUGCUCUAUGUUUGGUAUCAAAGCUAGUAUGUAGCUGCCAUGUGGUAAAUGAUGAGUUCUCCAUUUUCUUUCAUCA